rnacentral:lncRNA from 1 species
GAAAUUUUAAAGAACUUCGAAAAUAUUCUUUGCAAUACUUCCACUUAUCAUCACUAAUAAAAACGCCAAACCGUUGAAGUAGGUAAACAUGAGGUGAUAUUUAGAUUUUGCUUUGCGUAAUUUAAAUCAGUUAAUUUCAAAAAGGAACGGUUCCAUUCCUCGACGACUCUUACAAUGGACCACUAGACAAGGUACGAAUUUAAGCAUUCUGAUACAUGUUCCUUGACCAAAAUUUCACGUAGAGCAUGAUUCGCGCAACGAAAACUAAUGAAACAAACUCCAAACGAAGUUAUUAAUGUUUUUUUUUUUUUUUUUUUUUUUUUUUUUUUUUUCUUUACAUUGGUUACGAGGAAUUUGAACUGCCCGCUGACAAGAAACUCAAAGCUCUACGUGAGUCAAAUCGCGCACUACAACGGUUUCAACAAUCUUCUCAAUCGAGCAAUGUUCAUUUCACACCAUGUGUUGUUCAAACUAUAAACAAUUUGCUACAGCUGAGCCAAAGCGUCAAGAUUGAGGUUGCCAGAUUUUUAUAUCGCAGAGACUGUCAUGAUAACGUUUAGCGCGCGAUGUGAGUCACGUAGAGCAUUGAGUUUUCAUGAGCGGGUGGUUUGAAUUCACGCGUCAAGAAUCAUCAAAUAUCUUUGUAAGGAGUUGAUUUCGGUAAUUUUCAUUGUGCGCGUCGUAUUCUGCGUGAAAUUUUAGUUAAGAUACGUGUAUCAGAAUGCUGAGAUUCGUACCUUGUCUAUAUAGUGGUCCAUUUAGCAUGUCUUUUUAUGCAAGCCAAAGCUCACGUAAAAAUGGACUUGUUCCCUUUUGAAAACAACCGAUCCGUUUAGGGACGGCUCCUGAAGGGUGCGCGUUCGAAACGAUCCCCCACCUUGGACCCGCGAAGGAUGUCACCCCCAGCGUCAUCCCCCCGCAGUAGCGGCGCCCUCCGGCAGAUGGCGCCAGGGUCGGCGUCGUUCACCUGCGUGUGGCGUCUCCCAUCCCGUCAUCCCUCAGUUGCAGUGCGACCUCCGCGUUGGUCCCUCACGAGAUCCCGCUCGCUCUUGGCGUCGUUCCGUAAUCGCGUCCGUGCGGCAAGCUCUCGCUUGUGGUGUUGUGAGUUCGCCGUCCUGCUAUCGCAACCGGUUUCCGUAGUUUUUCUUUGGAUUACCUCCUUUUGGAAUUUUCAUCAUGGGAGGGGUCCCUCGCAGUGCUACAGAGCGGCCGUGCACCAGUGCGGCGGGAGAUCGAUGCCAUGCCGUGAUGUGAUGUGUCUCAGCACGGAAGUGCUUGCCCUUGACUGGAAACUAAUUAACCCCGCUUACAAGUGCCUUGCGGAGGAUUGCAGUGAGUACAACUCAGUGAGACCCACUUGCCUCUGGAAACCCAACUCGGUUGUGUUAUUCGUGGGUUAAAUUUCAAACCGACGGAGUUUAACUAGCUCGGCUUAAUUGGAAAUCGUGGAAGAGUGGUCCGUGAGAACUGGUCGAUUGUUACGCGAGCGCCUACUGUUGAAACAGCCGAGCGCGGAAAUUGUGGUGAUCGUGUCGUCUGAAGUUGAACAGUGUUUCGGGACUGCGUCCCGUUCGGGAAUCGUGUUGAAAGGGGUUUUUUCCAGAAUCUGUGAGGCAGCAUCCAGUAAUUAUUCGCGAUUUACGUAAGCAGUAAUGAGGAGAACGGACAAACGGACUGCUUUAUUCUUCAUUUUCGAAAGCUGACUCGUUAAGUUCAAAACAUAUUGAAACCAAUGAACCACGUUGGAGAAUCCUUGUUGUGAUAUUGAUAAUGGAAUCGCAUCGCAGCUGGUGAAAAUCGCACUGAAGCGUGAUUUGAAUAAACGGCAAAGGCUACCAGACAAGUGAAAAGACUAGAAUUUUUUUUCGAUUUGUGCAAAAAUUCCACAAGUUUAAGAUUAUUGACUUUUUCCUAUGCAUGUGAAAUAAUGUGAUUCACCUGGAGGCAAAAAGGCUUGCCGAUUCUGUUGCCGUAGAUUUUUACUCACUUGAUAGUGGAUAAUAAUCGAAAAAACACUCAAGUGUUUCACAGAAAAUGCAGUCACUACGGCCGACCAAAUUUUUUGAAUGUGAAGAAGAAUACAAAUUAAUUCCUAUCAAUUCAAAUUUGGGCCACACACACUCGUUGGAUUUGAGAUUAUAAGGAUUGACAAAUGAGACGUGUUCAUUGAAAGCUUCCGCAAUAAUAGCAACUGCAUUUAAUCUUAUCCUUAAGAGAACGGUGGAAUACAAGCUUACUGAAAAUUAAAUGGAUGAAUAGUAUAUCUUUCAAAUGUAUCAUUCGAAAAUAGAAUUGCAAGCACAAAUCAAACGGUGAUCAAAUGAUAGCCCAUUUGGAAAACCCAGCAAGCGAGUGUUUUUAUUGGGUCUAAAUUCGGAAGCAAACCUUGCUCUAUCCAGAGAUCAAUUCACUGCACGGACGUAAUUAUUCGAUUCUCUUGGAGGCAACAUUGAACGACGAUCAAAUCUAACUGGAAAAAUCUUUUGAAAAUUGAGAUUCACACCUCCACCUCAGCAUUGACAGCUGACACAACCCCAGGAUAAGUUGCGUACGCAACCGAGUCAUACUACCAAACAUCAAACUAAAGUUCGUUUUGUGCCUUAAUCUUGUCAACAAAAAGUCAAUGAAAUUCUCGAAGUAAGCUUUCUACAGCCAUAUCAAGUUUAUUGACCGAAAGAGUGCCUCAAAUGAUCAGUCGGCUCCAAGAAGCAUCCCGGUAGAAGCCGCGGAAAAUCACCAAAGCCACCAGUUGAGGUGACCCAUCACCGACACUCGAAGGGCUAUGUGAGUGGGCGAAGCGGCGGCUCAAGAUUCCCCAGGCGCAGGCGCAGGGUAGCGAGCCGACCU